rnacentral:rRNA from 1 species
UGGGGAAUAUUGGACAAUGGGGGCAACCCUGAUCCAGCAAUGCCGCGUGUGUGAAGAAGGUCUUCGGAUUGUAAAGCACUUUCGACGGGGACGAUGAUGACGGUACCCGUAGAAGAAGCCCCGGCUAACUUCGUGCCAGCAGCCGCGGUAAUACGAAGGGGGCUAGCGUUGCUCGGAAUGACUGGGCGUAAAGGGCGUGUAGGCGGUUUACACAGUCAGAUGUGAAAUCCCCGGGCUUAACCUGGGAGCUGCAUUUGAUACGUGUAGACUAGAGUGUGAGAGAGGGUUGUGGAAUUCCCAGUGUAGAGGUGAAAUUCGUAGAUAUUGGGAAGAACACCGGUGGCGAAGGCGGCAACCUGGCUCAUGACUGACGCUGAGGCGCGAAAGCGUGGGGAGCAAACAGGAUUAGAUACCCUGGUAGUCCACG